UACAGAGGUCCCAAGCGUUGUUCGGAUUCACUGGGCGUAAAGGGUGCGUAGGCGGCUGGGUAAGUCAGUCGUGAAAUCUCCGAGCCUAACUCGGAAACUGCGUCGGAUACUAUUCAACUCGAGGAAUGGAGGGGAGACUGGAAUUCUCGGUGUAGCAGUGAAAUGCGUAGAUAUCGAGAGGAACACCAGUGGCGAAGGCGAGUCUCUGGACAUUUCCUGACGCUGAGGCACGAAAGCCAGGGGAGCAAACGGG
rnacentral:rRNA from 1 species